rnacentral:rRNA from 1 species
UACGGGGGGGGCAAGCGUUGUUCGGAAUUACUGGGCGUAAAGGGCUCGUAGGCGGCCAACUAAGUCAGACGUGAAAUCCCCAGGCUCAACCUGGGAACUGCGUCUGAUACUGGAUGGCUUGAAUCCGGGAGAGGGAUGCAGAAUUCCAGGUGUAGCGGUGAAAUGCGUAGAUAUCGUCAAGAACACCUAUAGCGAAGGCAGCUUACUAGGCUGUAACUGACGCUGAGGCACGAAAGUGUGGGGAUCAAACAGG